UGCAGAUGUGAGGACCAGUAUAGUUGGUCAUGUGACCAGUGUUCCUCCAAUGGGUCCUGUGAUGAGAUCGUUGAUGGGAAAAUAUGUGGAUGUCUCAAUGACUAUCCUUCUGAUGGAAAGUUCUGUCAGCCAAUCACAAAUCUUACUGCUUGUCCAAGUCCAACUACUACAGCAGAGCCAUCAACCAUUUCUGGCAGAAUCAUUGAAAUUGAGUUGGACAUGACAGAUAUUUCGGCUACAUUGAUAGAUGUACUUAGG